CACCGGCUCGCGUAAAAUAGCCACGGUAGUGUCGUUGCGCGUAGUUUAGCGCCGAGACACUACCAGUGUCUCCAGAUACUUAUAAUAAAAGAA